GACGAACGCUGGCGGCGUGCUUAACACAUGCAAGUCGAACGGAAAGGCCCUGCUUUUGUGGGGUGCUCGAGUGGCGAACGGGUGAGUAACACGUGAGUAACCUGCCCUUGACUUUGGGAUAACUUCAGGAAACUGGGGCUAAUACCGGAUAGGAGCUCCUGCUGCAUGGUGUGUGUUGGAAAGUUUCGGCGGUUGGGGAUGGACUCGCGGCUUAUCAGCUUGUUGGUGGGGUAGUGGCUUACCAAGGCGUUGACGGGUAGCCGGCCUGAGAGGGUGACCGGCCACAUUGGGACUGAGAUACGGCCCAGACUCCUACGGGAGGCAGCAGUGGGGAAUAUUGCACAAUGGGCGGAAGCCUGAUGCAGCAACGCCGCGUGCGGGAUGACGGCCUUCGGGUUGUAAACCGCUUUCGCCUGUGACGAAGCGAGAGUGACGGUAAUGGGUAAAGAAGCACCGGCUAACUACGUG
rnacentral:rRNA from 1 species